CAUACCCCGUACGAAAAACAUUAUUCUCAGUUUGUUGGUACAUCGUCUGCGCCGCAAGAGGAAGAGGUCUCUCUACAUAAGAGAGAUCUUCGACAAGCGUCCGGAGUACGGCGAGUACCGCCACCUAAUACAGGAGCUGCGGCAGAGCUAUCCUGAAUAUCAUUUCAAGUAUUUCAGGUAAAAGAAAGCGAGUUACAUAACAACUGUAUUGCUUUCGUGAUUGUGUAGCUCGAGCAUGCUGAAAUAUGUUGUGCCAAAUUUUCGUGCAUUGCUUGAACUCAGGAUGACAAAGGCAUCUUUCGACAAGUUGUUGAGCCUUGCCACGACAGGCUUAUACGCCCUCCAACGCACAGGAGGCCUAUCUCUCCGUCAGAAAGGCUUGCGGUGACACUGAGAUUCCUGGCUACAGGAGGGUCCGUGCAAGAUAUUGCCAUGAGUUACCGAAUGCAUGGAUCGACGGUGUCAGACAUCCUGAAAGAGACACUGCCAGCAAUCUGGGACUGCUUGAAACCCCUUGUGCUUGCACGUGCAAGUGAACAGAAGUGGCGGAAGAUAACAGCAGAAUACAAUGAUAAAUGGAAUUUUUCGAAUAAUAUAGGCAGCACUGAUGGAAAGCACUUUCUAAUCAAAUGCCCCAACAGUGGGUCCGACUGCUACAACUACAAGAGGUUCUACUCAUUACUUAUGCUGGCUGUAGCAGAUGCUAGUUAUAGCUUUAUUAUGGUGGAUAUCGAAGCACAAGGUCAAUUUUCCGAUGGUUCUUUUUUCAAGAAGAGUCCCAUCGAGACUUUCUUUCAAGAGGGAGCGUUGGGGCUCCCUUCCGGAGUUUCCAAAUCCCCACUCACCCAAAUUGGAACCCAGGCACUGCCAUCAAACAACCGCCCCACUUCAGCGGCCAUGGCAAUGAGGGAAGAAAUAGCAGAUUAUUUCAUGUCUGCAGAAGGUUCAUUGUCGUGGCAGUUAAACGUUGUCAGGCGGUGCUGAAAUCCCAGUCCUUUCCUUUCAUUUUUUGUGCCCCUACAGCUCCUAAUGGUUAAACUGCACCACUUUGUAUAUAUGUAUACAUACGGGUAAUUGCUUUUUAUUUUUUCAGGCGUAUUGUAUAACUUUUUCCUCUUCCAGCGUCGUAACAAGUACUUUGGCUCCUGUAAUUGUGUACGAUUUUGCCCUUACUACUAUUUCCUUUCUUGAGCUUUUUUUUUCUCCAUUUAUGGUGAAGAACUACAGGUUUUAUAGCAGUCGUAUGCCAGUGAUUUGUCUCACUAAAAUUGGCAUAUGAACUGCAUUUUACAUGUAAACACAUGUAUUUUUUUCCUGCAAUAAUGAGAGAAGGGGAACCGAGGGGCUCGAUUUUGUUAAUCAUGUGUAUGUGGUCUUUUUUUCUGCAUUGUCACUAAAGCUAACCCUAUGUGCUUUUUUAACUGGUCUGCCUGACAGGUUAACUUCGGACCCUCCUUCUGUGCAUGUCAUUUUCACAUGAAGUGUACAUCACUGUGUUCCGAGAGCAGGUUGCUUAAAUAGUUACAGCAUGUACAUAAAUAGAAAACAUCCCAUAUAAAAAAAUGAAAUUUAAUUAAAAGUUUAGAAUGAAACACACAAAAAAAGCAAGAUGAGUUACAUUUAACCAACUAUUCAUAACAAGACUUAUUUCUCUACAACAGAGAUACAAAAUGCUACAAGUUCAAGCAAGAAUGCAAGAACACUGAGAAAAUUCCUUUCGGAUGCAGUAUAUGUGUGUUCUUUACAACUGCCAGUUGGCAUUUCCCUUGUGCGUUCUCGGUUACUUGUGGAUAUUGGGUUGGAAUAAUCUGAAUAAAUAUUAUUUAAUGGAAGUAAAA
rnacentral:lncRNA from 1 species